rnacentral:rRNA from 1 species
GACGAACGCUGGCGGCGUGCUUAACACAUGCAAGUCGAACGGAAAGGCCCUGCUUUUGUGGGGUGCUCGAGUGGCGAACGGGUGAGUAACACGUGAGUAACCUGCCCUUGACUUUGGGAUAACUUCAGGAAACUGGGGCUAAUACCGGAUAGGAGCUCCUGCUGCAUGGUGGGGGUUGGAAAGUUUCGGCGGUUGGGGCUGGACUCGCGGCUUAUCAGCUUGUUGGUGGGGUAGUGGCUUACCAAGGCUUUGACGGGUAGCCGGCCUGAGAGGGGGACCGGCCACAUUGGGACUGGGAUACGGCCCAGACUCCUACGGUACGCAGCAGUGGAGAGUAUUACACAGUGGGUGGAGGCCUGAUGCGGCAACGCCGCGUGCGGGAUGACGUCCUUCGGGUUGUAAACCACUUUCGCCUGUGACGAGGCGUGAGUGACGGUAAUGGGUAAAGAAGCACCGGCUAACUACGUG